GAUCUGAUUAAGUAGGCCUUUGCCAGGACAGAGGUAUGUAGGUGAUGCUCAUGCUCAGCUAGGUUUGGGAGCAACCAGACUAGAACCCAUUCACAUACAGACUCUUAGUAAAUGUUUUCUGCUCUCAUCUUGCAAAGUGAAAGUGCCCAGCACAGGCAAUGGUGUUAGUACGUUGUAGUCAUUCACAAACUAGGGCUGCCCAGAAGAGAGACAGGCUGGGGCUUUCGAGAGAGAAACAGCUGUAUUUCAUUUGAAUGCCUGGUAUGGGAAGAAGUAGGACAGCCUAGCUUCAUGGAACCUCCCUGCACCAGAUAAAGCCUCCAGAUCCCUCCACAGUGCUCCAUUCAAUCCCUGUCCGUUGGUGGUGGACCAGAGAAGAAACCAAUUUGCCUUGGCCACAUGUCUUUGAGAAAAAAAGCCACUCUCCCUUCUGGGACUCAGAGCGUCUGUACCUGUAAUAGAAGAGGGGAAUGUGGAAAAUUCUAACUGGAUGAUCACUUUUCUGUGGAGGGAAAAACAUUUUUUGUUUUGAGGGGCUAGCCAGCAUCAAACCUUUUUUUUGAGAUGGAGUUUCGCUCUGUCACCUAGGCUAGAGUGCAAUGGCACGAUCUCGGAUCACUUGAACCCAGGAGGUAGAGGUUUCAGUCAGCAGAGAUUGAACUACUGUACUCUAGCCUGGAUGACAGAGUAAGACUUAGUCUUAAAAAAAAAAAAAAAAAAAAAAAAAAGAAGGAUAAUCAAGACAAUGAGCUAAUGAGCUAACACAGAAGCCAUAGUGGACUUUCUUCAAUAUUUUAAGAAAGGUGAAAAAUAGCAGGAAUUUAACCUCUCAAAAAUGCUAGUCCCAUUAUCUAUUCUUCCUCAGCUACAAAGCCCCUGAUUUCACCUAGGCACAUGGCUGCCCAAAAAAAGACAACCCUGGCUGGCCCCCCUUAAACCUAAUUGUAGCUAUCUAAGUUGUAGCCAAUGAGAUGUCAGAGGAAGUACCAUGCAGUGCAACUUCUUAAGUAGCCUAGAAAGAUGGGGUCACAUCUCCUUGGGUUGUUUCCUUCUUUGUGUCAUUUUGAUCUCUCUGGCUGGAAAACAGAAAUGAUGUCUGGAGUGUAAGCAGCCAUCUUGGGCUAGGAGACUACAUGCUAACGUGGUGACACACCACCCAGAAAGAAUCUGAGUAGUCGAUGAUCACAGAGCUACCGUAUCAGCACUAGACUCUCUACCUCCACAUUUUAUUUGUGUGACAUAGAAAUCAAGUUUAAGCUUUGUUUUUUCUGGGGUAUAUGUGUGUGCACAUGUGCAUCUCUGUCUCACAUGCAGUGAGACCUAAUUCUAACUGAUAGGCCGGUAGGUUGGGGGGACCUUGCCACAAGGUAUACUUGUGGUGGGAUGGCUGUGUCUUGCUCCUGUUCAGGAUCCAAAAUGGAAAGCUCCUCUUUCUUCCUGUUCCCCUGGAUGCCAAGCGAUGGGCCUGAGACCCUGGCUCUGCCAUGUGGAUACUCCCCUUCAGGACUUUGGAUGUGCAGUGAUUGCUACAAAAAGGGCAGUGAAGAUGCCUGGACCACAGCCACACAGUCUGCAUCACAGCAAUGGUAUUCGGUGGAAUGAGUACUAAUUUUCUGGCCACAUUUUCUGUUCAAAAUUAGUUGUUGAGCUGCCCACUUGUCUUGGUCAAGGGGUGCUGUAGUGGCCUGGGAAGGAAGUGUUGUUUGCUUUUCUUAGGAUGGAACAGACUUAGGCAUAUUUUUGGUCAAAGCAAAAGAAGGAUUCAAAGGUGAGAGAGGUUGAAGGUAAAAAUGGGAAAAUGAGGGUAGUUGAUGAAGCAAAGUCACACAGAAAGCUGGCAGGCGAGUAGUAGAAUCAGCGUACAGGCUGAGCAUCCCAAAUCUGAAAAUCCAAAAUCGGAAGUGCUCCAAAACCUGAAACUUUUUGAGCACCAACACAAUGCUCAAAGUAAAUGCUCAGUGAAGCAUUAUGGAUUUCAUAUUUUCAGAUUUGGGUUUGUCCAACCAGUGUAAUACAAACAUUCCAAAAUCAAAAAAAAAAAAAAAAAAAAAAGAAAAAAUCUAAAGUCUGAAACACUCCUGGUCCCAAGCAUUUUGAAUACAGGAUACUCAACCUGUAUGACACUUUCCUACUAAACCCUCUUUCCUACCCCAAAUAAUACUUAAUAAGUUUUUGUUUCAACAGAGCCACUCUGAGCAUCUUUGGCUAUAAGGAGCAGAGUCACAUUCUAGCUCCCCUGGCACCUGCUUCACAGGAGCCCAUGUGAGAAGACCAGGUUCUGGUCAGGACAGGCAUACCUGAGAGCUGUUGGGGUCUGUGAUCUGCUGAAUAAUGACCUCUCAAUGUUCUUCACAUCCUAAUCCUCAGGAAUGGUGAAUAUAUUACUUUAUAUGACAACAGGGAUUUUAAAGAUGUGAUUAAGUAAAUAGUUUGGCGAUGGAGAGAUUCACCUGGAUUAUCCAGAUGGGCCCAAUGUAAACACAAGGGCCCUCAUGAGAGGGAGGCAAGAGGAUCAGAGAAGAUGCUGUGACAGCAGAAGCAGAGGACAGAGAGUCGCAGAGAGAUCUGAAGAUACUACACAGCUGGCUUUGAAAAUGCAGGAAAGGGCCAUAUUUGUUGCUUCACACCACUAAGUUUGUGAUAAUUUCUUACAGCAGCAGUGGGAAACUAAUAUAGCAUAUUGCCUUUUUUUCUAGUUAAAGGACUCACUUGUACAAUGUACACAUUUCUCAGAAGUCCUGUCAACCACUGGGAAGAAAGAGGCUGGACUUCUGCAUUGAACCCAGGAACAGGGUUUCACAGCAAUGGAAACCUGGGGUUAAAUAUCAAUGGAACCUUACACGACUUGAAGAAUCUUUAAUACAAGCCAGGUUUUGACCCCAAAUUAGACAUUUGGCAGCCUUUCAUUACAGUCUAUCUUGCAAACCUCAGUGUGGCAAGGAAUCAAAUUCACCCAUACUCCCUACUUUAAAGGAUUGUCCUCUGAUCAUUCCAGCUGGAUUAAGCCCUUUCUCAUCUGUCGUGGACAGAGCAAUGUACCUGCCUUUGUUUGUUUUCCUUAAUUCUUUCAAGUGCCUUUGGGUAAUAAAUGGUUGAGUACUCAG
rnacentral:lncRNA from 1 species